GGGGGACUUUUGUAUGGAAUUCAGGCCCUUAAGAAAGGGGCUCACCCGGAGCUGGGGAUGCAGCUCAGAAGGAAGAGUCCUUGCUUAACAUCCGUGAAGCCCUGGACCUCAUCCCUCGCGCCACACAAAUGGUUGGUGGCACAUGCCUAUAAUCCCAGCAUUCAAGAAGCAAAGGCCAAGGAUCAGAAACUCGGGCUAUCCCCAUCUGCAUAGCGAGGCCAGCCUGAGCUAUGUGUGAUUAUCUCAAAAAACAAGGCAGGAGGAGGGGCUUACACAGCACUGGGCUGAGUAGCGAUUCUGCUUUCUGUCACACGAGGACAUAGCAAAAGACCCCAAAGACUUAUUUGAUUUUGAACUCUAUUUCAGUUCUCUUUGGAUUAGCCAAUCUAUGUAAAUGUCUGUGGAUGCGCACUCAUUUAGGACAAGGGCCUUACCUACAGGUGGGAAGACUAACACACUGGUAGUAAAUCUCUCCAACUUUCAGGGCCUGGGCUGGAGCUAGGGCUGGGGUGGGGUGGGAAGAUGGCCUGGGGGGCUGAAGAGAGUCCUUUGCUGAUUUGAGACCGUAAAUUCAUAGUCUCUAGAGAAUUGAAAAUGUCUUACUGAAGACUUAUCUCCAGUGCCAAGGAAAACAUGUAGCUGGCAAAAUACCUUGAGUCUGGCUGAAUCCAACCAUGAUCCAGUGAGCCUUGCUCUCGUGAUGUGGUCUCAAGUGUGUUUGGGGAACUUGGUACGUGUUCUUCCCCUCAAGGAGAAUCAUGCCACAUCAGUGCAUCAGAGAGUUGAAGUUCUGGGACUGGGGAAGUGGCUCAG
rnacentral:lncRNA from 1 species